UUGCAGCCAGUCAAGCCAACCAUGCUCUUAUCCGCAAGGGCUUCUGGUGUGCAGUGGCUGCAAACAGCAGCCUCCUUGGUAGUGUACGCAGCAUGUGCCUGUAUGAGUUGCCUUAAGGGAUCUUGGAGACAGGC
rnacentral:snoRNA from 1 species